UUUUUUUCACAUAUUUAUUGACCAUUUAUAUUUCUUCUUUUGAGAAAUGUCUGAUUAAUUCAUUUGCCCAUGUAUUAAUUGGGUUCAUUGAUUUUUUUUCUUAUUCACUUAUGAUUUUUUAACGGAAGCUUUCAUGUGAAAGUGGCAGAGCUGAAUUAUUAUAAUAGGCACCAUUUAGCUGACAAAGUUUAAAAUGUUUUUGUCAGAAUAUUCAUGGGGGGAAAUAAUUAUUCUUGAUUAACAUGAGGAAGAGUCCUCUCCAUAUCGAGGAAAUGAUCCAUUUCGUAGCUAGAGAAGACCUCGACAUGAAGCUAGACUUGUGAUAUAUGAUUCCAUUUUAAAAUAGAAAUUUCUGGAGCAUAUUCCUCCUUGAUAGAUCUUAAUUCAGAGAGCACCCUUGUGAAAUAUAAAUGUCCAGUCAAAUAAUCUGUUUUCACUAGGACUCUAUAAAAAAAUCCAUCCAUUUAUGAAGACCAGGAAGAGAGGAGCUUAAGUACCUAUACAUAAAGAAUGGGUAGAAGAAGGGAAUUACCUGACUUCAACAGUGCCCACUAUAUUCAUGUGUUGAAAUAUAACACCUAUCCCAUUAAUGUGUAUAAUUAUUACACAUUAAGGAAAAAAUUUUAAAGUACGAUCAGUUGCAGACACGUGUAGCUUCAUUUUUUCAUGUAAGUUUUUUUUUAAGUUGUUUUAUGUAUUCUAGGUAUUAAUACUCUGUCAGAAGAGUAGCUAGCAAAGGUUUUCUCUCAUUCUGUAGGCUUUUCCUUCACAUUUCUAGUUGUUUCCUUUUGCUGUGCAGAAGAUUUUUAAUUUGAUGCCAUCCCAUUUAUUCUCUCUUGGCAUUUUUUCCUAGGCAUUAGGGGUCCUAUUGAGAAAGUUGUUGCCUGAGCCUAUAUGCUGGUAUGUGUACCCUAUGUUGUCUUCUAGGAGUUUCAUAGUUUCUGAUCUAUUCUUUAAGUUGCCUUUUAAUUCUAUUUCUUUUUCAGCAAGUUUGUUAUGGGCAUACACAAAUGCUAUUGUUUUUAUUUGAUGAUUUUGUAUCCUGCAGUUUUACACAAUUUGUUUACCAGUUCUACCAGCUUUUUGAUGAGAUAUUUAGGUUAUUCUAUGUUGAAAAUAAUUUCAUAAACAAACAUCGAUAUUUUGAC
rnacentral:lncRNA from 1 species